CUUCCAUUAAUCCAUUAUCCCAUAAUUUUAUUCUCUCUCUUGAUGAAACGUAAGGCAACUGCUUCUCAUCGCUUUUCUGAAAGCGACAGCCUUUGUCAUCUUCCGUCUCUCCUCUCACGUCUUUUACCUUUCAUCCACAACAAGAAAGUCGUUCCAGUUAACUCUGCUUUUCCAUCUAUUUUCAUCAACCACAUCAUCGAGUCGCGACCUCACCGAUGACCAUCGUAGCCUUGCAGCAUUGUUCGACCGCCGAUGUCCGGUAGAAAAGCCACCACUCCUGCUCCAACCAAUCAAUACAGAAAGUAUCAUAUUCAUCUCUUAUUUCUUUUAUACUAUUAUUCUAUUUCAGUCUCUUUAUAGUCUUAAUUAAUUUCUUAAUUUUGUUGAAUAAAGGGUGUUCAUGUGUGUUUAUAGGUGAAGUUAGGAAGUUAUACGAAAGCUGAAUUUUGGUGGAGUUUUGAGGUUUCUCAAAAAAUUUCAAGGUUUUGUUGUUCCAAUUUCUUUUACACGGUAGAUUUCAGAUAAUUUCUCUAUAUAUUUUCUGUAUUAGGUCUCCAAAUAUCUCAUCCACUAACAAAUUUAAUUUUAACAACUAUCAUGUCUUUUAAUCUUUCUCUAUAUAUCUUAAUCUCUCUAAAAAAGGUCUUCAACCAUUAGUUUGUUUGGACGACAAAUUGAAUAAAAUCUUCCUAGGUCAGUUCUCUACAGUUCAUUUUCGUUUCUACAAUAAAUAUGCUUAAUGAUAGUAGUAGUUUAUCCAAUUAGUCAAUUACCCAUAAAAUUAACAAUUUUGUGGUGCAAUGGUGACAUGUUUCUGAUUAUUUUUCAGUUUUAAUGCAUUUGGUUUUGCUUACAUGUUUCUGAUUAAGAUUUUUAGUGGUACAUAUAACGUAAUCAUGGAAUCACUGAAAAGUAGGAUCCUUAACCACACACAAGCAAGAUGGAGAAUAGAUCAAAUUGGUUCUUAAGAAGGAACUUGCUCAAAAUGAUUUUGCAACAAUAGUACAAAGCUGAAAAAAGAUAUUUGCAGCAUGGUAGACCUUUGAUGUCACAUGCCUGAUUAGAAAACGAGACAUAUAUAUAUCCCUCAAAUAAAAUAAUGGUGCUUGUGCAGGUCCAAGGAGAGUUAAUUUGAAAAGAAAAAAAAUGCUUAUGCUUUUGGAGUCGGUUAUGAAUUAGAGAAAGCAUGGAACUGCAUGAGUUGAGUAUAUAUCUUUUAAGUUUUGUCUGUUGUUUUUCAACAUGUUGAUCACUGAAUUGGAAAAUAGAAUCUGCCCCUUUGGCGUAUAUCAUGCAUCAGUUCAAGCCUUUCAACACAUUAUCAGAUUCAACUUAUAUAAGUGUAAUAUCCAGAAUUUUCUUCUCCAUUAAUCUAAAUUUAAGAUUUUCUCUUACAUAUAACGAAUUAAUUGUGGAAGUUCGCCAUUAAUAUCCAAUCUCCGGACAUCAAGGUGCGAAAUGUGAUACUUAUUGCUUGUGGAAAAAAGGGAAAAGAAUCUGUUGAUUUGAAAGAUGAAUCUGCUGAAUGAGUAGUUUUCAAAAUUGGAAGUCUACCUGUCUCAACUCCCUCCUGAUGUCCAAACCAGAAGACGAUCAGCACAAGGUAUGAAAGGUGAGGAGAAGUGUUUCAUGCCCGAUAUAUAUCGAGAGAGAAUAGCUUGAAAAUAUCUUCUCCAGUUUCCAGAAAAUCGUAUCUGAUCCUCAAAAUGUUGGCGUAGUUUGGAUGUCGCGUGACAAAAGAGCAAUUCAAACAACGGGUUUUGGCUCCUUGCUUGAUUAGUUGCAGGCAGAGACGGAUCUACCUUGUGCGUCAUGGGGGCACGUGCCCCCACAAAUUUUUUAUUUUUACUAAUUAUAUAUAUAUAUAUAUAUAAAUUAAAAUAUAUAAUAAAUAAGUAAAUCUUUAAAUUAAUUUUUAAUCUCCAAUAAAUAUAUACUUAAUUUAAAAGAGUGUCUUCUGUCAUGAAUAUUAUAAAGAAUCGUCCACACGGUCGGAUGAGAGAUAAAUGAAUAAUUAAUAAUUUGAUUGUAUUCAGUCAAUGAAAAAUAGUAAUUUUAAUUCUAAUAGAUUUGAAUUAUUAUGUAGUAAUUUUUUUAACGUAUUUUAUAUUUAUAGUAUGUUUAUAUUUUAUGCCCCCACAAUAAAAAUUUCUGGAUCCAUCCCUGGUUGCAGGCCACUCGGUAUCACUUCUGAUAGAUUAAUUCUCUAGAGCUCUAACUGCUGCUGAUUUAACCUGUAUAUCAUCAAGCUCAAGCAUCUGAAGAAGAGCCUUUAGUGGUCCACCUCUAGAAAUACAUUGCUUGCAUGCUCGUGAUCAGUCAGCUGAUCAAGAUCGGCUAAUGUAUCUACCAUGAUUAUUUGUAUGGCCACAUGUCCUGCAUGUGCAUCAGAAUUUACUAUAAAUGUGGUGACUAUCUUUCACCAAAGUUAUUGUAAGAUAAUCCCAAUAUCUAAAAGUUUCUGC
rnacentral:lncRNA from 1 species